rnacentral:ncRNA from 1 species
UUAAAUGCGUUGAUAAAGAGAAAGAUAUCAUUAGAGUUUUCAGAGAGCCACGGUAGGUGUGAGGUGGUAGCGAUAAGAUAUGUAAUAUUCACUUUUGAGUAGCCAAGUUCAAAGAUGUGUCGAGUAGACUUGAGACGGGAGCUCCCGUUACAGAGCAAGGAAUUGAUUGAUUCCGAUGAGUGAUGGAUUUUUCCAUAAUUUGGGUGGUACCACGGAGAACUUAUAUCUUCGUCCCUUUG